rnacentral:tRNA from 1 species
GGGGAUUUAGCUCAACAGCAUGAGCACCUGCCUGGCAAGCAUGAGGUUGUAAGUUCAAUCCCUG